rnacentral:rRNA from 1 species
GCUUGUCUCAAAGAUUAAGCCAUGCAUGUAUAAGUAUAAACGCUUUAAGCGUGAAACCGCGAACGGCUCAUUACAACAGCUAUAAUUUACUUGAUCUUGACAAACUUACAUGGAUAACUGAGGUAAUUCUUGAGCUAAUACAUGCACCAAAGCUUUGACCGUAAGGGAAGAGCGCAUUUAUUAGAACAAAACCAAACGGCUUCGGCUGUUCCCAGUUGAAUCAGAAUAACUCAGCUGAUCGUACGGUCUUGCACCGACGACGUGUCUUUCAAGUAUCUGCUUUAUCAACUUUCGAUGGUAGGGUAUCUGCCUACCAUGGUGGUGACGGAUAACGGAGGAUCAGGGUUCGACUCCGGAGAAGGGGCCUGAGAAAUGGCCACUACGUCUAAGGAUGGCAGCAGGCGCGCAAAUUACCCACUCUCAGAAUUUGGAGGAGGUAGUGACGAGAAAUAACGAGGUUGAUCUCUUCUGAGGCCAACCAUCGGAAUGGGUACAAUUUAAACCCUUUAACGAGUAUCUAUGAGAGGGCAAGUCUGGUGCCAGCAGCCGCGGUAAUUCCAGCUCUCAAAAUGCAUAGAAUUAUUGCUGCGGUUAAAAAGCUCGUAGUUGGAUCUGCAGCCGGAGCUCUGGUCCAUCUUAGGAUGUGUACUGGAUGUCCCCGGCUUUCUGACAGUGUUCGGCUCUGUGCCUCUAACCAGGUGUGGAUGUCCGAUACUGUAAGUUUACUUUGAAUAAAUCAGAGUGCUCUAAACAGGCGUUUUGCUUGAAUGAUUGUGCAUGGAAUAAUAGAAGAGGAUUUCGGUUCUAUUUUAUUGGUUUUAUAGACUGAGAUAAUGGUUAACAGAGACAAACGGGGGCAUUUGUAUGGCUACGUGAGAGGUGAAAUUCUUGGACC